rnacentral:rRNA from 1 species
CGGAUGAUUCGGGCUCAUUUGCGCAGGAUAGGUGGGAGGCGUUGAUCAUUGUUGCGGGAUUUGUAGAGCCAUUAGUGAGAUACCACUCUGAUAAAGCUAGAAAUCUAACCUUACACUGUAAGCCAGUGAAGAGACAAUCUCAGGCGGGCAGUUUGACUGGGGCGGUCGCCUCCUAAAAAGUAACGGAAGCGCACAAAGGUUUCCUCAAAUCGGUCAGACAUCGAUCUUUGAAUGUAAAGGUAUAAGGAAGCUUGACUGUGAAACUUACAAGUCGAACAGAGACGAAAGUCGGUCUUAAUGAUCUGGCGAUAUUGAGUGGAAAAGUCGUCACUCAACGGAUAAAAGUUACUCUAGGGAAAACAGGCUGAA